UACAGAGGUCUCAAGCGUUGUUCGGAUUCAUUGGGCGUAAAGGGUGCGUAGGUGGCGCGCUAAGUCAGGUGUGAAAUUUCGGAGCUUAACUCCGAAACUGCAUUUGAUACUGGUGUGCUUGAGGACUGGAGAGGAGACUGGAAUUCAUGGUGUAGCAGUGAAAUGCGUAGAGAUCAUGAGGAAGACCAGUGGCGAAGGCGGGUCUCUGGACAGUUCCUGACACUGAGGCACGAAGGCCAGGGAGCAAACGGG
rnacentral:rRNA from 1 species